rnacentral:rRNA from 1 species
GAUGAACGCUAGCUACAGGCUUAACACAUGCAAGUCGCGGGGCAGCAUGGGGGUUGCUUGCAACCCCCGAUGGCGACCGGCGCACGGGUGAGUAACGCGUAUCCAACCUGCCCUUCACCACGGGAUAACCCGGCGAAAGUCGGACUAAUACCGUAUGUUGUCCAUUGACGGCAUCCGAUUUGGACGAAAGGUUUGGCGGUGAAGGAUGGGGAUGCGUCCGAUUAGCCAGACGGCGGGGUAACGGCCCACCGUGGCUACGAUCGGUAGGGGUUCUGAGAGGAAGGUCCCCCACACUGGAACUGAGACACGGUCCAGACUCCUACGGGAGGCAGCAGUGAGGAAUAUUGGUCAAUGGGCGUAAGCCUGAACCAGCCAAGUAGCGUGCAGGAUGACGGCCCUAUGGGUUGUAAACUGCUUUUAUGCGGGGAUAAAGGAGCCC